rnacentral:rRNA from 1 species
AGAACGAACGCUGGCGGUAUGCUUAACACAUGCAAGUUGAACGAACAUUUAGGGCUUGCUCUAAAUAGUGAGUGGCAAACGGGUGAGUAACACGUGGGAAUCUACCCAUCAGUACGGAAUAACAUUUGGAAACAAAUGACUAAUACCGUAUAUUCUCGUAAGAGGAAAGAUUCAUCGCUGAUGGAUGAGCCCGCGUUAGAUUAGGUAGUUGGUAGGGUAAUGGCCUACCAAGCCGACGAUCUAUAGCUGGUCUGAGAGGAUGAUCAGCCACACUGGGACUGAGACACGGCCCAGACUCCUACGGAGGCAGCAGUGGGGAAUAUUGGACAAUGGGCGAAAGCCUGAUCCAGCAAUACCGCGUGAAUGAUGAAGGCCUUAGGUUGUAAAGUUCUUUAGCAGGAAGAUAAUGACGGUACCUGACAGAAAAGCCCGGACUAACUCCGUGCCAGCAGCCGC